rnacentral:sRNA from 1 species
AUAAGCUCUCGCCGGGCGGCGGGGCGCGCCCGUGCGGGCACGGGAGAGCGUCCCGACAUCCGGCGAGGCAACAGAUCUGAGGAAAAAAGCACUCGAAAGAAGAGAAGAGCGCGAUUUCCGAAGAGCUGUCAGGAUUGCGGGAGCGCGAAAGCGCGGAGCAAUCCGAAAGCUUAU